UACAGAGGGGGCAAGCGUUAUUCGGAAUUAUUGGGCGUAAAGGGCGCGUAGGCGGCUUGGCAAGUGGAAGGUGAAAUCCCUCGGCUUAACCGAGGAACUGCCCUCCAAACUGCUUUGCCUGAGGCCGGGAGAGGCGAGUGGAAUUCCCGGUGUAGCAGUGAAAUGCGUAGAGAUCGGGAGGAACAUCAGUUGCGAAGGCGGCUCUCUGGACCAGCACUGACACUGAGGCACGAAAGCGUGGGGAGCAAACAGG
rnacentral:rRNA from 1 species